rnacentral:rRNA from 1 species
UACGGGGGGGCAAGCGUUGUUCGGAAUUACUGGGCGUAAAGGGCGCGUAGGCGGCCUGCUAAGUCGGAUGUGAAAUCCCUCGGCUCAACCGAGGAACUGCAUCCGAUACUGGCGGGCUGAAUCCGGGAGAGGGAUGUGGAAUUCCAGGUGUAGCGGUGAAAUGCGUAGAUAUCAGGAGGAACACCGGUGGCGAAGGCGGGCGU